GUUUUGCGAAUGGUUUUAACUAACCAUUUAACUUUCCCGAACUUGCAUUGGCACAUAUUUGUUUUAUUCAUCUUUUCAAAAAAAAAGACGGGUUUAAAGUAAAGAGAAUGAAUUAAAAACGUAGGGGCGGAUUUAAAUUAUUGAAGACCCCUAAUACUCAUAUUUAAAAACACAUAUUAAUGUGCUCAUUACAAUAACGUUUGUUUUGUCUAAAGUAAACAAGCUAUAAUACAGCAAAAAUUAUGGGCUUUACGUCUGUAGUUUCGAAAGAUUUUAAUCAUCACUGUUUAUUACAAUCACGGCUUCCUUGAUUAAUGAAGGAAGUUUCCCUUCACCCGGCUAGUCGCAUUCAUUAGUUCCGUGCCUUUUUUUUGGUUUCGAGAGGGAGCCACAUUAAGGUACAAGAUUUUGACAGUUAAUAAGGUUAUGUGCUGUCACACUCCUGUCAGUGGAAAGCAAAAAGGCGUUAGUACAUUUAUAAAAACGUAAUUUGGCCACAUUUCGCUUGUGUAUAAUGCCAUUAGGAAUUAAAUACGCACGUCACAAUCUCACACUAAUGAUUUUUUCGAAAAGUAAACAAUUUCCUGAUAUGUGGCUAUUUGGUAAACUAGAGUAAUGUGUAUUGUGCCGUAUUAAAUCCCUGACAAUUAUAAGUGACUAAACCUGCAAGAGUGCAACAGCUUGUUAGAAUACAGUGCACAACCAAUACGUUCAAGGUCUUUUAGGCCCGUAGGGGGGUUAUAAGAUAAAGAAUUUUUUUGAAUAAAUAUAACUUUUUUUCCUAGUACUUUGUGUGUAGAGAUUGCAAAAAUUUGCCAACGAUAAUGCCGCAGACACUGCGAUGUUCCUCGCAGGAGAAUAUGGGAUUUUCAUUUAAAUAUGUAACAAUUAUUGUUUUCAAAAUGUAGUCUACAUCUUGCGUAGGCACACUGGAUGAAUAUUUGAGCUUUCCUCUGUCUUGAUUAUAAAUUAAUUCCAAGAGGGGACUUGUUUUUGACUCAAAAUAAUUGGUUAAGGGUACUAGACAAGCAGUACAUUUUACAGUCUCCUCAACUUUUCUUAACAAAUAUCCACAGAGAAAUCCAAUUUCUAACUUAAAUUUCAAAUAAUUACGACGUUUGGCGCGUGAUUUUGGUAACUAUGGUAACAAGAAAAGUUUUCGGAAGAAAUUAACAGAUGGCGAUACAUUAGAGUACGCUGUUAGAACCACUUUUUUUUUUUAAUGCGACCAGCCGGGUGAAGGGAAACUUCCUUCAUUAAUCAAGGAAGCCGUGAUUACAAUGUUUCUAAAUGCAUAAUGUUUCAUCUAAAAAUUUUUAAAUGGAAUAUGUAUACUCGUUUUCAUAUUAAUGUGCAUCGAAGUAGUCGUUGAAAGGGACUAUUUUAAGGU